GACGAACGCUGGCGGCGUGCCUAAUACAUGCAAGUUGAGCGCUGAAGGUUGGUACUUGUACCAACUGGAUGAGCAGCGAACGGGUGAGUAACGCGUGGGGAAUCUGCCUUUGAGCGGGGGACAACAUUUGGAAACGAAUGCUAAUACCGCAUAAAAACUUUAAACACAAGUUUUAGGUUUGAAAGAUGCAAUUGCAUCACUCAAAGAUGAUCCCGCAUUGUAUUAGCUAGUUGGUGAGGUAAAGGCUCACCAAGGCGAUGAUACAUAGCCGACCUGAGAGGGUGAUCGGCCACAUUGGGACUGAGACACGGCCCAAACUCCUACGGGAGGCAGCAGUAGGGAAUCUUCGGCAAUGGACGAAAGUCUGACCGAGCAACGCCGCGUGAGUGAAGAAGGUUUUCGGAUCGUAAAACUCUGUUGGUAGAGAAGAACGUUGGUGAGAGUGGAAAGCUCAUCAAGUGACGGUAACUACCCAGAAAGGGACGGCUAACUACGUG
rnacentral:rRNA from 1 species